GAUGAACGCUGGCGGCGUGCCUAAUACAUGCAAGUCGAGCGGACAGACGAGGAGCUUGCUCCUCUGACGUUAGGGGCGGGCGUGUGAGUAACACGUGUAUAACGUACCUAUAAUACGGGGAUAACUUCGGAAAACCGGAGCUAAUACCGGAGGAGCUAUUGAACCGCGGGGUGGGAUAGUGAAAGUCGGUGGUGCGGGCACUUAUAGAUGCAUACGGGCCGCAUUGGCUAGUUGGUAAGGUAACGGCUUACCAAGGCAACGAUGCGUAUGCGACGUGAGUGGCGGGUAGGCCACCCGGGAACGGAGACACGGACCAUGGUACUGCGGGAGGGCGCAGUAGGCAAUCGUCCGCAAUGGGCGAAAGCCUGACGGAGCAAGGCCGAGUGAGUGACGAAGGUCUUCGGAUCGUAAAACUCUGUUAUUGGUGAAGAACAAAUUUGUAAUUUAAUAUGGCCGUCUUGACGGUACCUAAUAAGAAAGCACCGGCUAACUACGUG
rnacentral:rRNA from 1 species